rnacentral:lncRNA from 1 species
GGCCAGACAAAGGGAGCACAGGUGCAUGCAAUGUUCCUGAGUGACCAGAAGGGCUGCAGCCAGGAUCCACCCUUUCCCAGACCUCAUUUAAGGGUUGGCAGUGGAGUUGAGAAUAUCUUGCUGGAGGUCUCUGCUGACCUGAAGCCUUCUAAGCAUGCCUGGCUCCUGUGCUUUGCAGAGGAUGCUCCACUUCGCCUGCAGCGAUGCUUCCAGGAGGAGGUCAGCAGCUGAGGAAUGGGCCUUAUUUUCCUUCCCAAAUCCUACAGGGAAGAAGCGACCGCAUGCUAGUCAUUGUUUUGAGAUUAUUUAAGAAACCACUGCUAUUGAACUAGCAGGAGAUCCUCUCAUCUGUGACCUAUGCCAGAUCCAUCUGAUUGUUAUGCCCCAGCUGCAGGCCGUAAUUUUCAUGGGAAAGUUUUAAGAAUGCCUGAAGAGUGACCGUCCUCUUUGCUACCCCUCACUGAUUUGUAUGGACGUCUCCUGGCCUCUCCAACAGCACUGUGGAGAGGGUUGUUUGAUUUCUUUUUAAACGUUGUCCUGCCUUCCUCCUCUUUUUUGACAAAACUGUACAUACAUGAAGACUCACUGUGUGUUGAGCAUGGCACAUGAAUGGAGGGACCACUUUGAACUACUUUUGCAACGAGGGAUUCUGCUCGACUGAUAAUGAAACCGUGGGAUAGACCUCGGGGAGCUUUUGAAGUGCUCCCUGAUCCUAACUACGGCUUAACCAGCUCUGUGAGAGAGUCAAGCAUGAUACUACCUGCUCUACUCAAGGUGUGGCCCAGCGCAUAAAGGCUUGUUUUGGGGAUCUGCACAGGGACUCUGGCUCUGCUGCUGCUUCAGCUCAAUGGGCCUGAAAACACACCAACUCAGUUCCAGAUAUUCAAGACCAAGGCAGGAAAUACAAAGAAAAUAUACAACAACUUUUUCAGCUUGCUGGUAAAGCAGAAAUAACAUGGCACUAAUACAGACAACAUUUUCAUGUAAGCCCAUUUUAUUUUAUUUACCUCUUCAAUCAGAGUGAAAUAGGAGAGCGCAUGGAUUUAGCUCUUUCCUCCGACUUUAGGAAACACUACCCAAGCGUUUUAUUCCCAG